CCUGCCAGUAGUCAUAUGCUUGUCUCAAAGAUUAAGCCAUGCAUGUCUAAGUAUAAGUGUUUAUACUGCGAAACUGCGGACGGCUCAUUAAAUCAGAAAUCGUUUAUUUGAUGGUAAAAUUACUUGGAUAACUGUAGUAAUUCUAGAGCUAAUACAUGCAUCACGACCCGACUUUUGCGGAAGGGUUGCAUUUAUUGGUCUGAAAACCAAUCUGGCUCUCGGGCCAGUUUUUUGGUGAUUCACAAUAACUCGAUUUCGAAGCGGAUCGCAUGGCCUAGCGCCGGCGACAGUUCAUUCAAAUUUCUGCCCUAUCAACUUUGGAUGGUAGUGUAGUGGACUACCAUGGUGAUAACGGGUAACGGGGGAUUAGGGUUCGAUUCCGGAGAGGGAGCCUGAGAGAUGGCUACCACUUCCAAGGAAGGCAGCAGGCACGAAAAUUACCCAAUGCAGACUCUGCGAGGUAGUGACGAGAAAUAACAAUGCAGUCCUUGACAAAAGGAUUGCAAUUGGAAUGAGUACAAUUCAAAAACCUUAACGAGGAUCAAUUAGAGGACAAGUCUGGUGCCAGCACCCGCGGUAAUUCCAGCUCUAAUAGCGUAUAUUAAAUUUGUUGCAGUUAAAAAGCUCGUAGUUGGAUCUCGACGCGGGUCAUUUUAAUGGGCCGGUCUGCUAGCCUUUUUGCCUGAAAGGGUGAGGGGUUGGUGUGCACUGUCCAUCCCGCGUCAUUAUUUGCCUAGAUCGGUAGUUGUCUGCCCUUAACUGGGUGGGCUUCUUGCCCUAGGCCGUUUACCUUGAAUCCUGUAAUGAUCAAUAGGAGUAGACGGGGGUAUUCAUAUUCCGUUGUCAGAGGUGAAAUUCUUGGAUUUUCGGAAGAUGAACAGGUGCGAAAGCGUCUACCAAGCUCAUCUCCAUUGAUCAAGAACGAAAGUUAAGGGAUCGAAGACGAUCAGAUACCGUCGUAGUCUUAACUAUAAACGAUGCCGACCAGGGAUUGUAAGACGUUGAUAUGAAAGACUCUUGCAGCACCUUAUGAGAAAUCAUAAGUCUUUGGGUUCUGGGGGGAGUAUGGUCGCAAGGCUGAAACUUAAAGGAAUUGACGGAAGGGCACCACCAGGAGUG
rnacentral:rRNA from 1 species